rnacentral:rRNA from 1 species
UUACCGAGUUUACAACUCCCAAACCCAAUGUGAACGUUACCAAACUGUUGCCUCGGCGGGAUCUCUGCCCCGGGUGCGUCGCAGCCCCGGACCAAGGCGCCCGCCGGAGGACCAACCAAAACUCUUUUUGUAUACCCCCUCGCGGGUUUUUUAUAAUCUGAGCCUUCUCGGCGCCUCUCGUAGGCGUUUCGAAAAUGAAUCAAAACUUUCAACAACGGAUCUCUUGGUUCUGGCAUCGAUGAAGAACGCAGCGAAAUGCGAUAAGUAAUGUGAAUUGCAGAAUUCAGUGAAUCAUCGAAUCUUUGAACGCACAUUGCGCCCGCCAGUAUUCUGGCGGGCAUGCCUGUCCGAGCGUCAUUUCAACCCUCGAACCCCUCCGGGGGGUCGGCGUUGGGGAUCGGCCCUCCCUUAGCGGGUGGCCGUCUCCGAAAUACAGUGGCGGUCUCGCCGCAGCCUCUCCUGCGCAGUAGUUUGCACACUCGCAUCGGGAGCGCGGCGCGUCCACAGCCGUUAAACACCCAACUUCUGAAAUGUUGACCUCGGAUCAGGUAGGAAUACCCGCUGAACUUAAGCAUAUCAAUAAGCGGAGGAAAAGAAACCAACAGGGAUUGCCCCAGUAACGGCGAGUGAAGCGGCAACAGCUCAAAUUUGAAAUCUGGCCCCUAGGGUCCGAGUUGUAAUUUGUAGAGGAUGCUUUUGGUGAGGUGCCGCCCGAGUUCCCUGGAACGGGACGCCACAGAGGGUGAGAGCCCCGUCUGGCUGGCCGCCGAGCCUCUGUAAAGCUCCUUCGACGAGUCGAGUAGUUUGGGAAUGCUGCUCAAAAUGGGAGGUAUAUGUCUUCUAAAGCUAAAUAUUGGCCAGAGACCGAUAGCGCACAAGUAGAGUGAUCGAAAGAUGAAAAGCACCUUGAAAAGAGGGUUAAAUAGUACGUGAAAUUGUUGAAAGGGAAGCGCUUGUGACCAGACUUGGGCGCGGCGGAUCAUCCGGGGUUCUCUCCGGUGCACUUCGCCGCGUCUAGGCCAGCAUCAGUUCGUCGCGGGGGAAAAAGGCUUCGGGAACGUGGCUCCUCCGGGAGUGUUAUAGCCCGUUGCAUAAUACCCUGCGGAGGAC